rnacentral:rRNA from 1 species
CCUACGGGCGGCAGCAGUGAGGAAUAUUGGUCAAUGGGCGGAAGCCUGAACCAGCCAUGCCGCGUGCAGGACGACGGCUCUAUGAGUUGUAAACUGCUUUUGUACCGGGGUAAAAUGCUCUACGAGUAGGGUUUUGAAAGUACGGUACGAAUAAGGAUCGGCUAACUCCGUGCCAGCAGCCGCGGUAAUACGGAGGAUCCGAGCGUUAUCCGGAUUCAUUGGGUUUAAAGGGUGCGUAGGUUGUUUUAUAAGUUAGCGGUGAAAUACCGAGGCUCAACCUCGGGGCUGCCGCUGAUACUGUAGGACUAGAGAGCGGAUGCAGCAGGCGGAAUGUGUAGUGUAGCGGUGAAAUGCAUAGAUAUUACACAGAACACCGAUUGCGAAGGCAGCUUGCUAGGCCGGAUCUGACGCUGAUGCACGAAAGCGUGGGGAGCGAACAGGAUUAGAUACCCUGGUAGUC